ACGCGGGGAGGUAGUGACGAAAAAUAACAAUACGGGACUCUUUUGAGGCCCCGUAAUUGGAAUGAGUACACUUUAAAUCCUUUAACGAGGAUCAAUUGGAGGGCAAGUCUGGUGCCAGCAGCCGCGGUAAUUCCAGCUCCAAUAGCGUAUACUAAAGUUGUUGCAGUUAAAAAGCUCGUAGUUGGAUCUCGGGUCGUGCCGAGCGGUUCGCUUCGCGGCGGUACUUCUCGGCGCGGCCUAGCCGCCGGUCUUCGCUUGGUGCUCUUCGUUGAGUGCCUCGCGCGGCCGACAGAUUUACUUUGAAAAAAUUAGAGUGCUCAAAGCAGGCGCUUCGCUUGUAUAGUCGUGCAUGGAAUAAUGGAAUAGGACCUCGGUUCUAUUUUGUUGGUUUUCGGAACUUGAGGUAAUGAUUAAGAGGGACAGACGGGGGCAUUCGUAUUACGGUGUCAGAGGUGAAAUUCUUGGAUCGCCGUAAGACGAACUACUGCGAAAGCAUUUGCCAAGAAUGUUUUCAUUAAUCAAGAACGAAAGUCAGAGGUUCGAAGACGAUCAGAUACCGUCGUAGUUCUGACCAUAAACGAUGUCGACUGGCGAUCCGCGGACGUCGCUUCUAUGACCCCGCGGGCAGCCUUCGGGAAACCAAAGUCUAUGGAUUCCGGGGGAAGCAU
rnacentral:rRNA from 1 species